AGAUUCCUGCCUUGUACGUGGGAGAUAGACAACUUAAUCCGUCAUUAAGACACGAUAGGGAGCUGACGUAAAGUAAUUGUGAGCGUUCCGAGAAGGGGAAAGGGCUUUAUCUUACUUUCAAGGCACCCACUUAGAAACGUAGGGAUUUAAGAAAACUAUUUCCACGGCAAGGUGGGUCUUUA
rnacentral:other from 1 species